rnacentral:rRNA from 1 species
UAUGGUAAUUGCCAGCAGCCGCGGUAAUCCGGAGGAUGCGAGCGUUAUCCGGAUUUAUUGGGUUUAAAGGGAGCGCAGACGGGUCGUUAAGUCAGUUGUGAAAGUUUGGGGCUCAACCUUAAAAUUGCAGUUGAUACUGGCGUCCUUGAGUGCGGUUGAGGUGUGCGGAAUUCGUGGUGUAGCGGUGAAAUGCUUAGAUAUCACGAAGAACUCCGAUUGCGAAGGCAGCACACUAAGCCGUAACUGACGUUCAUGCUCGAAAGUGUGGGUAUCAAACAGG